GACGAACGCUGGCGGCGCGCCUAACACAUGCAAGUCGAACGAGCGAGAGAGAGCUUGCUUUCUCCAGCGAGUGGCGAACGGGUGAGUAACGCGUGAGGAACCUGCCUCAAAGAGGGGGACAACAGUUGGAAACGACUGCUAAUACCGCAUAAGCCCACGACCCGGCCUCGGGUAGAGGGAAAAGGAGCAAUCCGCUUUGAGAUGGCCUCGCGUCCGAUUAGCUAGUUGGUGAGGUAACGGCCCACCAAGGCGACGAUCGGUAGCCGGACUGAGAGGUUGAACGGCCACAUUGGGACUGAGACACGGCCCAGACUCCUACGGGAGGCAGCAGUGGGGAAUAUUGCACAAUGGGGGAAACCCUGAUGCAGCGACGCCGCGUGGAGGAAGAAGGUCUUCGGAUUGUAAACUCCUGUUGUUGAGGAAGAUAAUGACGGUACUCAACAAGGAAGUGACGGCUAACUACGUG
rnacentral:rRNA from 1 species